CGUAGGGUGCAAGCGUUGUCCGGAAUUAUUGGGCGUAAAGAGCUCGUAGGCGGUCUGUCGCGUCGGCUGUGAAACUCGGGGCUCAACCCCGACGCCUGCAGUCGAUACGGGCAGACUAGAGUGCUGUAGGGGAGGACUGGAAUUCCUGGUGUAGCGGUGAAUGCGCAGAUAUCAGGAGGAACACCGGUGGCGAAGGCGGGUCGUCUGGGCAGUAACUGACGCUGAGGAGCGAAAGCGUGGGGAGCGAACAGGAUU
rnacentral:rRNA from 1 species